rnacentral:rRNA from 1 species
AGUGAACGCUGGCGGUAGGCCUAACACAUGCAAGUCGAACGGCAGCACAGUAAGAGCUUGCUCUUACGGGUGGCGAGUGGCGGACGGGUGAGGAAUACAUCGGAAUCUACUUUUUCGUGGGGGAUAACGUAGGGAAACUUACGCUAAUACCGCAUACGACCUACGGGUGAAAGCAGGGGAUCUUCGGACCUUGCGCGAUUGAAUGAGCCGAUGUCGGAGUAGCUAGUUGGCGGGGUAAAGGCCCAACAAGGCGACGAUCCGUAGGUGGUCUGAGAGGAUGAUCCGCCACACUGGAACUGAGACACGGUCCAGACUCCUACGGGAGGCAGCGGUGGGGAAUAUUGGACAAUGGGCGCAAGCCUGAUCCAGCCAUACCGCGUAGGUGAAGAAGGCCUUCGGGUUGUAAAGCCCUUUUGUUGGGAAAGAAAAGCAGCAGGUUAAUACCCCGCUGUUCUGACGGUACCCAAAGAAUAAGCACCGGCUAACUUCGUG